rnacentral:tRNA from 1 species
AGGAUUUUAGUUAAAUUUUAACAUAACAUUUAAAUUGCAUUUAAAAAUUAUAUUUAUUAAACCAAUAUAAAUCUAA